GCGCGAUGAUUUUCGGUGAUUGUCCGGCGGAGUACAACCCGAAGAUCCACGGACCUUACGAUCCUGUCCGUUACUACGGCAAG
rnacentral:lncRNA from 1 species